GCGCGCUGCGCCCCUGCUGAGCGGCGCGGAGCUACCACGCCCUGCCAGACUCGCCCUUGGGUCCCUGUCUGACGAGCUCUAGGCAAUCUGCCCUCGUUCGGGACACAACCAUCGGUCUCACCCCUCAGUUUCUGCCAGAGAAAAAGGAAAAGUCACCGAGAGGCCUGACCCUGACGGGUGGGGGAGAUGCGCGUGCGGAGUAGCGGGAAGCGACUGAGGAGCGGGGAAUGGGCAGCAUUUGAAUGGAUGCGGGUGCCGCUGGCACCCGGGAAGACGCUGGGGGCCGGCGCUGUAGAGCCGGGCAUGGGCUGGGAUGUGUUUGGAUUCCAAUCCGGGCCUGACACCAGUUCAGUGACCUCGGGAAGUUCCCCAACCCUCCGGGCCUGUUUCCUCCCUCUGAAGUGGCGACAGUAGUAGAACCGACCUCGUAGGCUCAUCGGGAGGUCCUGAUGGGAGAACCCAUGCAACUUGCCACCAUAGAGCCAGGCCCGCGGCGGUUGGCGCCUGGUGGGUAUUAAAGACGAGUCGGGAAAGAAGAGCAGCACACCAACAUGGCACAUGUAUACAUAUGUAACAAACCUGCACAUUGUGCACAUGUACCCUAAAACUUAAAGUGUAACAAUAAUAAAAUUUUUUU
rnacentral:lncRNA from 1 species